ensembl:lncRNA
CCCAACUGGUGUUUUUCUGCAUUUCUUUAUUGAUUGCCUGUACAUAUUUGAAAAUAUGAAUAUCCCAAAAAUGUAUUGUGACAAAUAUUUAUCUCAGUGUGUCUCGAUAUGUUGUAUGAAUUACAUUGUGUCUACACCAAUGAAUAUAAAUGCUUACGGUAUACAUACGGUCUGAAAUAAAACUCAAACCUACAACAAAAGUUGUUAAGUGAUAAAAUAAAAGCACAUUUUGACGGACAUUUUUGUAUUUCCAGUCCUCCCAUCCCCUAUGUAAUGAUACAGAGCCAAUGUAAACUAGGAACUGUGCCUUUGCAUGUUAACUUUCCACCCAUGAAUGGGAUUUAUGAAAACCAACAUAGCGUCAUUGCUUCAGGCAAUAUAUUAAGUUGCACAAUCUGUCAAGCGCGCACACACGAAGCCAAACCGAAUCAGUCCAACUUUAACACAUUGCAACUCAAAGGACGACCAGUGAGGAGAGCUCUCGUUUUUUUCCUCUCUUUCAAUCAAACAAUGUUCCGUGUCUCCAGGCGAUGAUGGAUGAAUCCAUCAGCUGUGUCGUCUCCUGAUUAAGUGGCUGUAUCUAAACACAACUUCCAAUCUAGCAACUAGUCUCGGUAGCAAACUGCAGAUGAUUGAUCGCUCGAAAAACGAUUUCCUCCCUCUCUCCUCCCUCUCUCCUCCCGCCCCGUCUCUCUCGGCUUGUCCCACCUCCCCUCUGUCAAACAUCAUGUGACCCAGGUGCACUGCUCCCCAAGUGGCCUGGCCUCGCAGCCAGUUCUUCACAGUGGAAAGCCGCACAAAUGGCCAUUCAUAUCAAUCAUUACGCACCACCAACCAGGCUUUCUGUUUCCAAUGGCUCCCAUGCAAAAACACUGCAGGUCCUGUUCUGAACAUGAAAAGUUGCUUGUGCCCGCAAUUCAAGGUGCUAAAACUGGGUUGAUUUUUUUAUUUUUUUUCCCCCCUCUUUCUGCAGUGUUCUAUCAACGUGGCGGAAGUGAAACUUCGAAAGGUUUUCAACACCGUCUUGAUCAAGUUGGCGAAGUGUUUCAUACGGUUAGAGAUGCUUUGAUGAAAGAGAGCAGUGUGGUGACCUCGAGGGGUGCGAGAGGAGGAAAAGGCUCUAGCCCCCUGCCGCAUUUAGGAGGUGUGAAGGGCUGUCCAGGUUCCAGUGUUAAGCAUCUGUCCCACCAGCAACAAGCGAGGCUGUGUGGCGACCGGCUUACCUCUGCGCACAAAGGAUGUCCUGUACUUCCCGUGCACACAGACACACUUAAACCCACACUGGAACACAUGACCCCCUUAAGCUUUUCUCUUUGUCGCAAGGCGCACAUAUCUGAGCCCCAGCUUACAAAUACUUGUUUGCCGACAGCCUGCCGGUUUUCAGAGCAGAGAGGAGUGAAGAGCUUUAACCCACAUCUCUUUCCCUCAGGCUGAUAAAGUGCUCUGAUAAGCCGCGAGGUGCUGGUGAAAAGUGGCUGGCCCUCAGCCCCCAGGGCUACAAUAUGAAAGAGUGGCUUGUCUGGAGCGAAGCAGAAUAGAAGAGAUGAUGAAGCCAGAAAAAAAAAAGCCAUGGAGGAAAAACAAAGUCCAGAAGAAAGGAAUUGGAUUGAUGAAGUGGUCUGGGUGCAGCGUGCAUGUCUGUAUAUGUGUUCGCUCAGGUAUGCAUGUGCAUACAUUUGUGAGAAUUUACUUUCGCCACCAGCUGUGGGCGGCGGGAGGGGGGCAGGGUGUAGAACGGGGGAGUCCUGCCAUGUGUUUAUGUUGACUAAUGAGCUAAUUACCCAGCCCCUAAUCUAGCUCAACUUGUGUCAUUUCACAGGAAUGCUGCAGCAGUCAAACGCUUGCAGAUUAUGGGUCAUUUCCUGACAGUUAAAGGCAAACUACUACAGCAGUAAUUCCUCCCCACACCAGGCGCUAAACCACAAGGGCUACAGCCCCUCCAUUUGCUUCUUCAUGAAUUUAUUGUCCUCAAAUGUGACUACAGGAUUUCCUCGUUAAAAGUAAGCACACACUUUAGCAUUCCCUUUAGCAUCUCGCAGUUUAUUAGUUAGAUGAUAUGACUUAUGACAUAUUUUUUUGGGCACAAAUAGUUCUUUGUCAGCCCUACAAUUGCAUGCAGCACAGACUGCCAUCAUUUGUACAGAUUAAGUAUCAUACGGUUUGGAAUUAUCCAAAACAUUUUUCCAAAUCCAUGCAAGGUAGAUGUGGAUCAAUAAACCAUAUGCACAGCAUACAGUACAAGAAUAUGCUGUUAUUAUACUACUUAUGUGUUAAACUCACAUUGUAGUGGUUUUGAAAGGUUUAAGGGAGAUUUUUUAAGAUUCUCAUUGUGACUUUAUUGUGAAAAAUGUACUAUAAAUAAACAAAAAUAUAUAUGUUAUGAUUUAUUUGUAGCAUCGUAUAUUGUGAUUUCUAUUUAGAAAUUGAAUGCAACUUUAUUCUCCUUUAGGAAUUCCAAUAUGUUAUUUCCGUGGCCCACGAAGGUCAAUCAAUAUUUGUUUUCACAGGAGCAACAUUACACAAAAGCCUUCAAAGGAAACUUUGGAUGUGGAACUCUCUUCUUUAAGAAAGAGUUUUAUGCCAGAUGAGGUGGCGCAAAGUCAUGUCACCUGAGUCUGUUUCGUCUGAGAGUAGUACAAUAUUGAAAUGCCCCCCCCACCAAACAAAGUGGAGGUGUGGAGCUGAAAAGAAUUGCCCCUGCUAGCCUGUUCCUCAUCUCCGCUGCGAGCGGCUUGAGGCUGCCCAUCAGAGGGGCCGACAGUAGCCAAUAGCUAUUAUGUAAACACUGAAAGCUCUUCAGGACUUGGCUGAUUAAUUGCGACUGUCAGGAUAUUUCAAUUUUUUGGAGAAAUAUGAGGAGGCCUUGCUUACAGCGAAAACAUUACAGUGUUGCUGGAAAGGCUCCAUGUUGAGAAAUAAGUUUGGGAAGUGCCUUCAAGUGUUUCAGGUCAUUGUUAACAAAUCCAGUCAGCACUCCGUGAAGUAUUGCUCGCUUAUAUCUAAGAAGUAUUUAAAGUAUUAAAAGAAUGAACUGGUGAAGGAAUAUUAACUUAUAACCAAUAAGAUGAAAGAAAAAGAUUCAAGGAAAGCAAACAAAAGUUGAAUGUACUUUGGAGGCUUGAAUCAAUCAAAUCUCUGAGGCAGACAGCAUGGGAGGUCUCCAUCCCCUCCACCCGCCCGCAGCGAGAGGUGUGAGCGGGGAUUUGGUGAGCUCACCCCUCCCUCCAUCCUUCCUUGUUCAUCAUCCACCUCCCUGGGGUGUGUGCUGCUCCGCUCCCCCUCAACAAGCUCCCAUCCAUCACUCCUAAGAUUUCACUUUAAUAGGUGGUCCUCUUCCUCCUUCACACUCCCUCGCGGGAACAUUUGGUUGAAAAAAUCAAGAUGGCGGAUGGUGAAAGUGGGAUUGUUAGAAACGUUUUUAGCGAUACUGACAAUGAUUGGUAACUGGAGAUCUUAGUUUCCAUGUAACACUGGCUGCUUAUACUAGUUCUGCUGUUGCUAUCGGAGUUUCUCUUUUUCUUUUUACAUAUUUGCCCAUCAGAUAUCAGACAUGACAAAUUCUUUACAUGUGCAAUCAUUCAUCGGGAUUUAUUUACUUCUGCACUUUACGAACCUUACGUACUUUGACUCUCUACCUUCGCAUUGAAGUUACUGUAGUGUUUUUUCCAGAAACCGACAAUGAAUUGAAUCUUGAAUCUCGGUUCCUUACAUCGAUGACCGGGAAGACGUUUGUCAAACUCGCUGAAUGUGUUGGUCUUCAAAGACCGAAUAAGAGACAACUACAUACUGUAUUGGCCUACCCUGCAGAAAUCAACACCCCAAUACGUUGUACUGGGCUCAGAAGGCGAGUAACUGAAGGCUGGAGGAGCCGGGGCCGAGCGGUAGCUCCUCAAUUCAAACAGGAGGCAGCUUGCUUGAUAUUUAAAUGGCCUGUGUUUGUUUUUCUUCUGGUCCCGUGUGUGCACGUGAGCCCAGUAUAAAGGGCUGUGUUCUUUUGAAGGGGAUAGCACCAGGAAAGCCGGGGGGAAGGAAACCUUGCUUUGGUGUUUUAUAUAUCAACGGAAUGACUUCCCUCAAAUAAAGACGUGCUCCGUUCCGCCGGUCGGGCUGGAACAAGCUGCUUGUUUCCUGUCCUGAAAACUCGCGGCGUGUUCAGAACAAUGCAGCCGGCCACAAUGAAGGAGAUGUCUCGUCUGGAAGAUAUGCCAAGGGUGCUUUUGUUUGACCCGCGAGUUCAGGCUGAAUCAUUUGUUUACAGGAUUUGUGACAUUUGAAUGAAGGCACACGAUUGUGAAAUUGGAAUUGAUAGAAAUGCCGAAACAAUAGAUCCGGAACAAGCGGAAGAUGAAAGUAUUUCCCUUUGAGGCCGUAAAGUCUUUAAACUCAUUUUUUUUUUUCAGCCAUUAACAGUAGCCACAAAAGAAAUCUGAACUCCGGGACAAAGACACAUCUGCUGCUGGUGGAAUUGUUCCUCUAAACAUUCAUAACUCGGCCAACCCGCCAUGCAACGGACAAAGGCUUCCUCUCUGCCUCUCCCCACUGGGAGCUCGACGUGCGGAGUUUCUCACUCGCGCUGCCUCCUCAUCAAAUUACAGCCCUGCUCCCUCCUGUCAUGUUGGCAAACAAAGGUCUUAAGGCGCACUCCCAGUGUAAUUGCCUCUAAUCUCAGACAUAAUGUGGCCUUUCAAGUCAACUAGUCGGAGAGAAAAGGGAGCUGUUGUUCACUCUGCCUCUUCUUUUUUUUCUCUUUUUUUUCGCCACUUGUGCUCUCCCACUUUCACUUGGAGGAGCAAGAGUUUGCUGGGCUCCGUUUCCCAGUCUGAAGCGGGAAAAAAUAAGAUGCUUUCGUUAGAUAUAGUCACAAUGUAAAAGUUAGUUCUGGAACCUGAAGACAUUACCGAACCUCUGCCAAAGAGCAUGAGUUUGGUUGGUCAGGAAGCCGUCCCCGGUAUCGCAGCAGUUCCUCGGUGAGCCCCUCCACCUUUGGCCUGGAUUCUCUCCGUGGCGAGCAUCAGGCAGUCUGCAGCUGGAAGUGUUUCUGCGGUUUGGCCAGGUGUCUCUCUGCCCUGCCCGGGACAAGGCCUCAGCGGGGCCUGGGACUGGAGUCUGAGCGCAGGCUCCCGGCGCUGAGCGAGCUGGCUGCCCCUCCGUGAUCUGAAAUGUCCCGCAGACCCACCUGACUGGUGGUCAGCUGUAACCGAUACGACACAAUAGCAGCGCCGGAGGGGGAAAGAGGGGUGUGGGAGGGGGGGGUUGAAAAUGAAGAUGUGUGUGAGCGAAACGUAGAGCUGUGGAGAAGAGGAGAGAGAAGGUGAGAGCGGCUAAUGGAAAUGUUGGACAAAUUCUCCAACCGAAGAGGCCUUUUGGUUAAAUAAUGGAACGCAGACGUUAAUAUGGUUUCCAGGGGCUUUGGCAAGCAGAGAUGAACAUAUCGAGUAGAAAACACAGUAUCUGAUAUCUGCGCUGUGUUGGGCUUUUUGAGCGAGUGGGGAGAGAGCGCAGGGUAAGAGGAGAUGCAGUGUUUCUAAAACCGUUCAGCGGGGCUUUUUUAAGGAACCCAGCUGUGCGCCCUGGAGGUCCCGAGCUCUAACUGGGGCAAAAUCAGCUGCAGCUUCAGAGCGGGGUUCUCCGUGACCUGAUGUUCCAGGAGCCUCUGUGAAUUGAUGGGCCCCAGGAGAGUUGUCGCAAGGGCCCUGGAACAAUCACCCAUUCAUCCCCGCAGCCACAGCAACGGGGCAAACACAAACUAGGGAUUAAAAAAAAGGCUGUUUCUAAAAUGGGAAAUCGCCAAAUGGUAAUUAAAAUCCUUUUUGGGGUUCUUGAGAGUUUGAAAUAAAUGAAGAUAGGCGAUAAGUUGUUUUUUGUAAAACUACCAAUAGGCUUUCCUCUACCACCCACAUUGAGAUUUUUAAAAAAGAAAGAAAACCCCAAACUAAAAUAUUAAGAACAUGAAAUAACUGUACAUUCCCCUUUGAAUAACCCCCGUAUAUUUUUGGAUAAUGUGGCUGAACUGGCUCGAGCCCAUCACGCCUCAUGCGCCAGGACUACACACUGCUGUUACAUAAGACAGCUGAGCCAGUCCAGACAUUGAGACUAGUCCUUAUGUGGACGCAAAUGGGUGGGUUUCACUGCGUCCCCCUCGCCCAAACCCAUUUACCAUGACUGUAUCAACCAACUUCUCUCCAGAGUCCCUCUCACUCUCAGAGAUUAGAGGCCCGGAGGUCAGCUGCACAUCAGUUACAUUUUUCUGUGCUUCACCGGCCAGUUAUUUAUAGAGCAAGAACAAAUAUACAAUGGUAGGAGGCUGGCGGUCAGGGUAGGAGGUGUAGGUUGAGCCCGGGAACAUCUGUCCUUUCAAAGGCAUCUCUUCCUUGGUAUGCUCAGAAUCCACUCCAGGGGUGUUUGGCGCUUCACUGGUAGUCAGAGAGAUGGCAUGCAAGUCAAAACAGAGCUGAAGAGGGAACGAAGAACCUCGUCCAAACCCGGCCGGCUGCAUAGCGCAGCAACAUGUUCCCCUCGACCCCUCACGGUAUUUGCAAGGAUCGUUUUUUUUUAAGAUUAGCUUAAUGAAGAGACAACACCGUGUCAGAAGAAACAUUUAUGAGGCACAAAUGGAGAAAUUGCCGUUUAAAACCAUUGAUUAUUAGAUAAUGUGCUAAUGGCCAUUGAUAGGGUUUAACCUGUUACCUGUAUGUACAGUAUUGACGACAACACACUGUCCAGACUGCUGUUGAUUUUAAGAUUGGGGAAUUGGUUAUAUGCUUGCAGCAUGCACAACAAUAUUAUACGUCAAUUACCUUCGCUUUUGCAUAUUGACACUGACAUAUUCUCAAGGCUGGAGCAGUAUGUGUGUGUGUGUGUGUGUGUGUGUGUGUGUGUGUGUGUGUGUGUGUGUGUGUGUGUCUGACAGAGUCUCUGUUUAGUCUGUCAACAUCAGAGAUGCUUCAUUACACACUCGUAAAUCCUGCGCCGACACUCCCAGUCCGACCUCUCACUCUUUCUCUCGCUGGUUCUUCCUGACGUGCAUGGGAAACAAUCACGCACACAGACACACACAAUAGGCUGAUGCUUUGAUUACAAUGUCCACUUUUUUUUGUUUGUUUGAAAUGAGCGCGAGUGAAUAUUUUAACAAUCUGCGUGGUAAGAUGACAUAAAUCAGUAAUCAUAUGAAAAAUUCUUCAUAUCUUCAUAUCAUCAUUUUAUAAUUAUUUUGCCUUAUUCUAAAACAUAAUUCAAACAAAUUAUUCAAAUUCACAAUACAAUAAUAGUACAAUAAGACUGUUAAUAUUAUAUUAAAAUGAUCAUGACUGAAGGAAAAGGUUAUUAUAUUGUCUGAUAUUUGUUGUAAAACAAAUAUUGCAAAUUUAUUUUUGGGCUCAAGAGAGACAAUAAGCAAAACUGGAAAAUAACUAAUUGAAACAUUUCUCUUUUCCUGUGGACCUGAUGUCCUCAGUCGUCCAUUACAGAACAAGCAAGAAAACGUUGAGGAUGAACAGCAGACUAAAUAAACUCAUUGAAAUUAGAAACAUCCCAUUUAUAUUGGCUAAGAGGUUGUUUUACUAAACCGUGAGCUGUUUUGAAACAAUUCUCGCUAUCUACAAAUGGCUUAUUUGGCUCAUAAUAGUAUUAAUUCUUUAGUUUUUAUCAGCCCAAUUGUAAUUAGAACACCCACCCUUUACUUUUUUUGUUUUGGCCCUUUUAACCCAUUCAAUUCACUCACAACAAAUACAGGCCGCAGCACAAACCACUGGCGUGGGAAAAAAAUCAAUAAUUACUAAAUAACUAAAAAGCACCAUAACUUUAUCAAAUAUCCUUGUAUGCACACGUCAUAAGAAUUUAAUAGCUAUUUGCUAUUUGAUUCGUCGGCAUUUUUCUAAGCCUGACUGAAACAUGUCAAAAACUACUUUUAAAGUAAGUUAUGGAAAUUAAUUUUCAGGAAAUUGAAUAAUAUUUAAAUGUUGUCCGCUAACUUCGUUUUAUUGUAGAAAUAAUUGUUUAUUAGAGGCAAUGUGGAUAAAAUUGGAAAAUGAGCAUUUAAUCCAUAACGGGUUCACUCGCCUUCAUUGUGCAGCUAUUUUCCCGUUGGAUUAUAAUGUAAUUGGGUGUAUUUCACGCACGCGGCGACGUGUUGCGAUAACCCGCAUACGGGGACUUUAUUGACCGUAAUUAGGCCGCUUUUGUCUGAGGCCUCAAACGCAACGCGCUCUCCUCCAGGCCGGCCGCUGCAGAAGCACCGAGGUGAGAGAUGAAAGGAUGAAAUCCGCAAAUCAACAUUCUGCCCCGACCCUUGUGCACAGGCAUUCCUGUGAAAUGAGGUCACUGCAUAAUCCGCAAACUCAGACGCAAAAAGAAAUAAUCGCCUUCCCUUUAACACGUCACAAAGUUCCGACAUUACACGUCGUAGUUAUUCAAAAAUGUUCACAUUGGGAGGUGUUUUCGAUUUUAAAAAAACAAUUAGAAGUGUUAUAUAUGAGGAGGAAUUUAUUAUUCUUGAACCAACCCCCAGUUACGUCAGAAUAAUAAUCAUUUUCUUUACAUAAACGGUUAUAAUUAUAACGUUCAUCCAGUAGCUCUUCUGGCAAAACGUAUUUAAGUUCCGUUGGAUCACGAAUGCAGUUCAUAACUUGGGAAGUCUACAAUGUUUCUGCUUCAGAGCUUUUUCAGGUUUUUUUCACUCAGAGCCUCAAUUAAUUUUAUUUUACCAAAAAUCAUAAACUCUAUUUCACUUAAGAUUUGAGAAGGUACUUAUUUAUAGUCAUCAGAAACUACAUUGUAUAGCUGCUUGUGUUGUAAGCAAAUCAAAAAAAUGUAACAAAUCCUUAAAAUAAUAGUAAAUAACAGGUUAUACUAGAUAUUUAUAAUGCAUCGUGAUUCAGCAUAUAUCAUGAAAAGUUCAGCAGAGCUGUCAAACUGCUGCAGGGAAGGACUCCCCCAUAAUUACAUUUUAAGAGCAGAGGAAGCCGAAGGCCUGACCACCGUCAUUCAGUCGGCAUUAAAUAAACACGAGACCCAUCAGUGUCACAUAUGCCCCUCACACAGUCGCACUAUGAAUUAUGACCUUCAUAGCCUGAGAUUUAAAAAAAAAUGAAGAAAAAAAAACGGCUCAUGAUCAGACUUGAAGAAAACAUCCUAAGAGCUAUUAUGAUUUAAUUAAUAAUGGAAGUUGACUAAAUGAAACAUGUUAUCAGUUUAGUGUCUCAUCAAUUCAUAUUCACCCCCUCUAAGGAUUUUUUUGUAAGUAUGACACAUUAUUCAGUGUGGAGAGAGAUCAGGAAGCAGCAUGUUGUUACUUGCCCGGUGGAGAAACACAACACAAUAUCAGCAGACGGGGAAAGAUGGAAACAGCUCUGCUCUAACAAAUACUUACACGACCAUCGGGCAACAAGGCAAAAAACACAAAGGGGAUAAUUGGAGUAAUGUGUUGUUCUCGAAGAGUUUUACAGGACAAACUGAGACGUGAUAUCCAACACGUCAUGGGAUUUCUAUUCUUCAUCCGCCCCCGGCUCGCCUUUGAUGCAGAGCGUAAUAAAGCUGUAAGGACCUAAGAAGACAUGGAUUAGCGAGGGAUCACACAGAUUCAAUGACAAACAAUUAUUGGGCGUGACGUUAAGAUUAAAAGCUAAAGGUUGUUCCACAGUAUCCGACUGGGACUCCUGCCUCGAUGUCAGUGCAAAUAAUUCAACCAUUUUCAGGUUACAUUUGGUUUUUGAAAAGCGGAUGAAGUGUUUUGUGAUGUUAUAUUGUUUGACUAAUAUUAACCAUCAUUAUUUAUAAUUUUUUUCAAAUGAGAUCAUGUCAUAAAAUGUCUACAGUUAAUUAGAAUGUGACUAAAAGGAACCUGCACAUAUUUCUGUCUGUUUAAGCCAAUUAUUUCAAUUGUAUAUCUUUUUCUGGACUUAAAUUCAGAUUUACAGCUCAAUCCCAGACAUUAGCUCUGUCCCUCUCCAGUUGUGGCUAUAGUGAUUUAGGAUGACCUUUAUAACCAUAAGGUCAACAUCAACAUUGUUUUAAGGUGUCCUUGUGUGGGCGAGCAGUGCUAAUGCUCUGUGACACAAUAAAGCAUUUUUAAAUUGGUAAUGAGAAAGGUUGCAACUUUUUUUUCCUUUGCCUAAUAAUAAAAAAAAAUUGUUGUUUUGUUGUCUCUAGAAAGACCCCGAAAGACCCCAAAAUACAAGGAAUCAUACUAAAUAUCUGUUGUAUGGUUUUUAUAAUAUUGCCAGGCAACAAACACACGCUGUGACUUGUUUUACAUUUUCCACCCACUAACGAGCCUCCAGAGGGCCCACGCUUAUGGUUUCAACUGUGCAACGCGCCAAAUAUUUAGAGUAAUAGGUGGUUACUGUGCUAUCUGUGCCACUACAAGCUGUCAAUCUGGACCCCGGAGCUAAUUAAAAAGGCCCCUGCGCUUUAUUUGUUUGCACACACUGAGGGCAGACUGAAACCGUCGGGCGUGGGGGCAUGACAAGCACGCCAUGCCCCCUUAAAUCACUCCGCUGUGCCAAAACGCUGACACCACACAAUGACCCUGACAAAACAUUUGAGUCCCCAGUGUGGGCGAGACGGGAGAGGGGGGGGGGACCUACUGAUUGGUACGAUUUAGGAAAUGAUCUGUCUUUCUGUAUCAUUUUUCUCCUUCAGCUUCGACAUCACCCGGCUCUUAGUGUCUGUGUUACUCAUGUUCAAACCCUCCUUGCAUUGCAUUGCAUUGCAUUGCAUGUACCACCGUAAAGUACAAGAUACUUUUGCAUAGUUCAAUAGAAAACGUACUCUGACUUACUGUAUUGUCACAGGCCUGCAUCCAACAGCUGAUCUUUAUCCGGCGUGGGGCGUCUUUCCUUCCGAUCACUUCUCUUUUCUUCGUCCGGAACUCUGCUCUAAUAUGCUCGUCCCGAGAAGUGACACAAAAAUGGAGCCCGGGAUGGAAUAAAAGACGCAUGAGAUUUAAUUAUGUGGAAGUGGAGUUCAUCA